rnacentral:misc_RNA from 1 species
CAGGUGCGUGACGCCGCCCGCGUACCCUGUGGCGCGGCGCAGCCACGGCACGACGGCGCGGUCGUAGACCACCAGGAUGAGCAUCUGGAACACGAUGGGGACGACGAAGAGGCUCGCCGGCGGCACGUUGGUGGCGCCGAGCCGGGUGUCCAUGGUCCCGCCCUGCUGCACCGUGAACGUCAGGAGCAGCGGGAUCGGGAGGUAGCCCAGGACGGAGCUCACGAAGACGGGAAGCAUCCGGAGGAUGAUCUUGGCCUCCUCCACCUGCGUCACCGUGCACAGCGACCACCGCCGCGCGUCGCCGUCGUUCACGGCCGCCUUGUCGAGGAACCUUUUGAUUCAAGAGCAAUUUUAAUUAGUUACGUUCGAGAGGUUGAGGGGGUUAUUAGUCAAAGCGUGCACCAACGGUUCCUGCUGGACGGAGCGGCCGGCCAGGGUACAAUGUCACAUCUACCUUUUGGACUGUAAUGGGAGCGAAACAAAAGCUGAUUGGCAAACUGCGAAAACGUUGGCGUCUUCGCUGCUGAUCGAGAUGGAUUUGAUAGCGAUAUAUAUUUAUAU